GGUGCUGUGGCUCAAAGUGGUAGAGCAUUAGCCUUGAGCGCAAAAGCUAAGGAACAGCACCA
rnacentral:tRNA from 1 species